UACGAAGGGGGCUAGCGUUGCUCGGAAUCACUGGGCGUACAGCGCACGUAGGCGGCUUUUUAAGUCAGGGGUGAAAUCCUGGAGCUCAACUCCAGAACUGCCUUUGAUACUGGGAAGCUUGAGUCCGGAAGAGGUGAGUGGAACUCCGAGUGUAGAGGUGAAAUUCGUAGAUAUUCGGAAGAACACCAGUGGCGAAGGCGGCUCACUGGUCCGGUACUGACGCUGAGGUGCGAAAGCGUGGGGAGCAAACAGG
rnacentral:rRNA from 1 species